UACAGAGGGGGCAAGCGUUAUUCGGAAUUAUUGGGCGUAAAGGGCGCGUAGGCGGCUUUGCAAGUGGCGGGUGAAAUCCCUCGGCUUAACCGAGGAACUGCCUGUCAAACUGCAUGGCUUGAGACCGGGAGAGGUGAGUGGAAUUCCCAGUGUAGCGGUGAAAUGCGUAGAUAUUGGGAGGAACACCAGUGGCGAAGGCGGCUCACUGGACCGGUACUGACGCUGAUGCGCGAAAGCGUGGGGAGCAAACGGG
rnacentral:rRNA from 1 species